UACGUAGGGUGCAAGCGUUAAUCGGAAUUACUGGGCGUAAAGCGUGCGCAGGCGGUUUUGUAAGUCUGUCGUGAAAUCCCCGGGCUUAACCUGGGAAUGGCGAUGGAGACUGCAAGGCUAGAGUUUGGCAGAGGGGGGUAGAAUUCCACGUGUAGCAGUGAAAUGCGUAGAGAUGUGGAGGAACACCGAUGGCGAAGGCAGCCCCAUGGGUCAAAACUGACGCUCAUGCACGAAAGCGUGGGGAGCAAACAGG
rnacentral:rRNA from 1 species